UGAGCUUGACUCUAGUCUGGCACUGUGAAGAGACACGAGAGGUGUAGCAUAAGUGGGAGGCCCUCCACCGCCUUUUGGUAAAGGGGGAGUCGCAAGUGAAAUACCACUACUUUCGUCGUUUCUUUACUUACUCGGUGAGGCGGAGAGAGGAGAAAAACUCACCUUUCUAGCCUUAAGUGUGGUGGCCGUCGUGUCCCGCACGAUCCGAUCCGAGGACACCGCCAGGUGGGGAGUUUGACUGGGGCGGUACAUCUGUCAAAAGCUAACGCAGGUGUCCUAAGGCCGGCUCAGCGAGGACGGAAACCUCGCGUAGAGCAAAAGGGCAAAAGCCGGCUUGAUCUGGAUUUUCAGUACGAAUACAGACUGUGAAAACAUGGCCUAUCGAUCCUCUUGACAUUAGGAGUUUUAAGCAAGAGGUGUCAGAAAA
rnacentral:rRNA from 1 species